UGCAACCUGUGAUGCAAAACAACCCAUUUUACUGAAUUACACUUAUACAAAAAAUCGCCAUCUUUCGGCCGAGGUUGCA
rnacentral:snoRNA from 1 species